rnacentral:rRNA from 1 species
CACGUAGGCACCAAGCGUUGUCCGGAUUUAUUGGGCGUAAAGAGCUCGUAGGCGGCCGAUCAAGUCAGGCGUGAAAUUCCCGGGCUCAACCUGGGGGCUGCGCUUGAGACUGGUUGGCUAGAGGCCGAGAGAGGGUGGUGGAAUUCCCAGUGUAGAGGUGAAAUUCGUAGAUAUUGGGAAGAACACCGGUGGCGAAGGCGGCCACCUGGCUCGGUACUGACGCUGAGGCGCGACAGCGUGGGGGAGCAAACGAGG